UAAGACGAACCGAGCGAACGUUGUUCGGAAUCACUGGGCUUAAAGGGCGCGUAGGCGGGCUGCCAAGUCCGUGGUGAAAUCCCCCGGCUCAACCGGGGAAGGGCCUCGGAUACUGGCGGCCUCGAGGGGGGUAGGGGCGUGCGGAACUGUGGGUGGAGCGGUGAAAUGCGUUGAUAUCCACAGGAACUCCGGUGGCGAAGGCGGCACGCUGGACCCCAUCUGACGCUGAGGCGCGAAAGCCAGGGGAGCGAACGGGAUUAGAUACCCCGGUAGUCCUGGCCCUAAACGUUGAGAACUAGGUAGUAGCCCGGACAUGGGGUUACUGCCGGAGCGAAAGUGCUAAGUUCUCCGCCUGGGGAGUAUGGUCGCAAGGCUG
rnacentral:rRNA from 1 species